rnacentral:rRNA from 1 species
UUUAUGGAGAGUUUGAUCCUGGCUCAGGAUGAACGCUGGCGGCGUGCCUAAUACAUGCAAGUAGAGCGAACAGACGAGGAGCUUGCUCCUCUGACGUUAGCGGCGGACGGGUGAGUAACACGUGG